rnacentral:Y_RNA from 1 species
GAUUGGUCGAAGUGCAGUGGUGUUUACAACUAAUUGAUCACAACCAAUCACAGAUUCCUUUUUCUCUUCUCUACUCCCACUGCUUCACUUGACCAAAAAU